rnacentral:rRNA from 1 species
CAGCCGCCACGGUAAUACGUAGGGUGCAAGCGUUAAUCGGAAUUACUGGGCGUAAAGCGUGCGCAGGCGGUUAUAUAAGACAGAUGUGAAAUCCCCGGGCUCAACCUGGGAACUGCAUUUGUGACUGUAUAGCUAGAGUACGGCAGAGGGGGAUGGAAUUCCGCGUGUAGCAGUGAAAUGCGUAGAUAUGCGGAGGAACACCGAUGGCGAAGGCAAUCCCCUGGGCCUGUACUGACGCUCAUGCACGAAAGCGUGGGGAGCAAACAGGAUUAGAUACCCGAGUAGUCCCUGUCUCUUAUAC